rnacentral:misc_RNA from 1 species
AUGGCGGUCUAUUGAUCUUCUCAAGUAACCUACUGAAGACUAAUUUUACAGGUAUACAAGCAACUGUGGUUGGCCUAGAUGUCUCAGGUUUGAUAAGCCCAUCCAUUUGACUAGUACUGGUAUAAUGUAAGGGCUUACUUCUGAAAUUCUGUUGAACAGCAAUUGAAGACAGGGUUCUUGUUUUUUGGUUAGAUGAUAAGCAUGCUUUCUUAGCCAGCUUUCUUGGGAAUUUCCUAUCCAUUGAAGGCCGAGAAAUGUGGGGAAGGCUCUUCCGUACCAAGCUUGCCUUGUGACUGAAACUCCCUACACUAGACUUCCUAAAUGGCGACCGUCCUUCUUGAUCUAUGAAUGGAGGAUCCUCAGCAUCGUCAGCACCCAAUACUAAUGAUAAAUGAGGGCGUGGGACCCUAAAGUUGGUCCUUCGAGCAGUCCUCCAAGCUGGUGGAAGUGAAGUAUUUCCAUCAUGUUCAACUGCUUCAUUGCCAUGAUAAUCACUUGUAGAAAUAAGAGUUUCUGAUGAACCAUCUU